UACGGAGGAUGCGAGCGUUAUCCGGAUUUAUUGGGUUUAAAGGGUGCGCAGGCGGUCUGUUAGGUCAGCGGUCAAAGCCCGGGGCUCGACCCCGGCCCGCCGUCGAAACUGGCAGUCUCGAGUUGGAGAGAAGUAUGCGGAAUGCGCGGUGUAGCGGUGAAAUGCAUAGAUAUCGCGCAGAACUCCGAUUGCGAAGGCAGCAUGCCGGCUCCACACUGACGCUGAGGCACGAAAGCGUGGGUAUCGAACAGG
rnacentral:rRNA from 1 species